GACGAACGCUGGCGGCGUGCCUAAUACAUGCAAGUAGGACGCAGUUGCGAACGGGUUAUUCACGCGUAGGUAACUGCCUAUUAGAGGGGGAUAACUAUUGGAAACGAUAGCUAAUACCGCAUACUAGUAGAUUGACCUGCGUUGUAUUAGCUAGUAGGUAGGGUAAUGGCCUACCUAGGCGACGAUACAUAGGCGACCUUGGAGGGGGAUCGGCCACACUGGGACUUGGGCACGGCCCAGACUCCUACGGGAGGCAGCAGGGGGGAAUCUUCGGAAAUGGGGGGAACCCUGACCGAGCAACGCCGCGGGAGUGAAGAAGGUUUUCGGAUCGUAAAGCUCUGUUGUUAAGGAAGCGGUACUUAAACAGAAAGGGACGGCUAACUACGUGCCAGCAGCCGCGGUAAUUC
rnacentral:rRNA from 1 species